UACGUAGGUGGCAAGCGUUGUCCGGAAUUAUUGGGCGUAAAGCGCGCGCAGGCGGUCCUUUAAGUCUGAUGUGAAAGCCCACGGCUCAACCGUGGAGGGUCAUUGGAAACUGGGGGACUUGAGUGCAGAAGAGGAAAGCGGAAUUCCACGUGUAGCGGUGAAAUGCGUAGAGAUGUGGAGGAACACCAGUGGCGAAGGCGGCUUUCUGGUCUGUAACUGACGCUGAGGCGCGAAAGCAUGGGGAGCGAACAGG
rnacentral:rRNA from 1 species